AUUGAACGCUGGCGGCAGGCCUAACACAUGCAAGUCGAGCGGACGAAGGGAGCUUGCUCCUGGAUUCAGCGGCGGACGGGUGAGUAAUGCAUAGGAAUCUGCCUGGUAGUGGGGGAUAACGUCCGGAAACGGGCGCUAAUAUAGCAUACGUCCUGAGGGAGAAAGUGGGGGAUCUUAGGACCUCACGCUAUCAGAUGAGCCUAGGUCGGAUUAGCUAGUUGGUGGGGUAAAGGCCUACCAAGGCGACGAUCCGUAACUGGUCUGAGAGGAUGAUCAGUCACACUGGAACUGAGACACGGUCCAGACUCCUACGGGAGGCAGCAGUAGGGAAUAUUGGGCAAUGGGCGAAAGCCUGAUCCAGCCAUGCCGCGUGUGUGAAGAAGGUCUUCGGAUUGUAAAACUCUUUUAGUUGGGAGGAACAUAAGUAAAUUUAUACCUUGCCAUUUUGACGUUACCAACAGAAUAAGCACCGGCUAACUUCGUG
rnacentral:rRNA from 1 species